rnacentral:lncRNA from 1 species
GUUAGAAUUGUGUGACCCAAAUUCUAAGAGAUUGCUUGCAAGUCAAGUUAAACAAAAAUAUAUUUUCUUUCUAGAAGAUUUAGUAUUUAUUAGUAUAAUAUAUUUAGCAUUUAUUAGUAUAGUUUAUUUGACUUGCUAAUUUAGCCUAUAAAUAGGCUCCUUUACAAUCUUAGAAUUAUAUGAGACACCCAUUAGAUUAGAACUCAUAACACAUUCAGAGAAUUUUGUGUUUACGUUUGAGGGUUCUUUGUUUUUCGGGUUUUUGGGGUUUAGUUUUUAUCUCCAUCUUUUGUACUCUUCAUUCUUUUGCCAUUAUAGUAAAAUUAUCUUUGCCCGUGGUUUUUUAUCCUCUUUUGAGGGGUUUUUCCACGUUAAAUUUGUGUGUUCAUCUUCUCAAUUUCUUCUACUAUUUUUACUUGUUCGUUGCUUAUUCGGGACGAUCCUAACAAGUGGUAUCAGAGCUAGUUUAACUUUCAUAGAUCAGCCCGGUCAGAGAUGGCAG